UAGGCCUCAAGUUUCUGCCUUCUGCAUCGCUGGCUGUAAGUAAGAGUACUGAGGGAAACGAAGUCACGCGUCAGAGUCUACUCCCUUUAUGCGAUGGAAAGCAAGCGAGAGCGUUGAGACGCCGAGCAUUGUUGAUGCCACGCAAAAGCCGUCCCUCUGGGAGCCGAGGAGACUCCGCUGUCAGUGAGAUAAGUGUCUGGUUUCAUGAGGGCUCUGCUCACGCCCAACCUGAGUCCCGGUGGGGAAGCCUACUAAGUUUGGGCUGGGCUUUUAUGAUAAGGUUCCUAACUAGCUGUGGUCACGAGGGAGAAGAGGUCCCUAUUUUGAGAGGUUGCUCAUUUCUCUGGUCAGGAAUGGUGUCUCCUCCACAGCAGAAGGUUGCAUCCGGGAGGAUGACUCCACGUGCUUCGCUUCCCGGGGAAUUUUCCAAGAGCCCUAUCCUGAGGAGAAAGUGGCACUAGUGGACAUGAGCAGACGGGACAUCCUUGUCAGCAGACAUGAACAGUCCUCAGCUUUCUGACUCCCGCAUAACUGGC